UCCCUGGUAGAUCCUAUAGUAGUAGCACAUGCCAGUCUCAAAAGUUAAUACACAGGUGUCUAACUCCUCAGUGGUGUUGUGAAUGGUUGGAUAUGGGCUGGGUUCAGCUCCUACAUAAGUAACUGGUUAUUGUAGAGCUGAUCCACAGCUGCAGCUCUAGUGACUCUGGUGAUUUUCAGUAACCUAGAUCAGUCGCAUUCCCACCCCCCGCCCCCCGCCCUGCCAUGGCCCUGUCACUCUUAGGUGGCAGUUGUAGUGCAUACUGAGGUGACCACCAUGACCAAGAAUCUUAGUAAUAGGGAAACUCAGUUUGGUUCUGCAGAGAGAACCUGAUAGAUUAAUACCCUAUAUAAGGAAGGUAGCUGGUGCACAAAUUACCCACUCCCAAUCCUGGAGGACAGUGAUGAAAACAAUAUAGGACUCUUUCAAGGCCUUGUAGUUGGAAAGAGUCCACUUUAAGGAGGCUCUACGGCAGGGCAAAUCUGGUGAUGGUAACCACAGUAAUCUCAUUUUCAAUGUGAUGUGAUGACUGUGGCAGUUAAAAUGCUUGUUCUGACUGGGCCCGGUGGCUCAUGCAGGUAAUUCCAGCACUUUGGGAGGCCAAGGUGGUCAGAUCACUUGAGGUCGGGAGUUCAAGACCAGCCUGACCAACAUGGAUAAACCCCAUCUAUACUAAAAAUACAAAAUUAUCUGUGCGUGGUGGCACAUACCUGUAAUCCUAGCUUCUUGGGAGGCUGUGGCAGGAGAAUGGCUUGAACCCAGGAGUUGGAAGUUGUGGUGAGCUGAGAUGGUGUCACUGCACUCCAGCCUGGGCAACAGGAGUAAAACUACACUGAAAAAAAAAAAAAAAAAUCUUGUUUUUGGAUCUUAGGAUCCUGGGUGCUGCCGGGGUCUAUUGCAAGAAAGUUCAUGCUCCUUGCCUUUUGAUACCUUAUGGACUCUUCCCUGAGUUUCCCUGGAGAUAAAGUGUGCACUUAAAGAAAAUUAGUGUUCAGUGUAGCAUGGGCUGCCUAGAUACUGCUGGUGGGAAUCAUGGAAUGGGAGUGUGGUUUUAUUUUGUGUCAGAACUUUGUGGAAGCUGAUUAAACAGAGCAAUUGGGGCAUUAGUAUUGCACCACUAGGACUCAAACUCUGGGCCUUUAGUAAGUCUGAUCAGAGUGAAAGCUUUUGCUGAGGAUGUUUUCGUUAACCAAGGAUGAAGGUGAAAGUGGGAAGUUUAAAGAGGUUCAGGCCCUGUGUAGUUACAAACAUAAAUGUGAUGAUGUUGACCACUGCAUUAAUGCCCAUGACCCACUGGCAGCUUCCAGGAAACCAGAGCCCUUUGGGUGUGGUAGGAGAAAGGUCUGUUUUCAAAGCUGGAACUGAAAGGCAGCAGCAGUAGAGAGCUUAAUUUGGCUCAACAUGAACAACCUUACCUGCUUCUGGCACAGACCAGAUUGACCUAUUGGUAGUUGUUCUGGGGGUGGAGGUGCAUGGCUUUUCUACUUGUUGAAGAGAUUCUACUGGUAGUUAAUCAAUAACCAGGGAGACUAACAUGCUAACCAGUUACGUGAGUGUUGGGCAUCCCCCAAUUUACACAAGUGGCAUUCAGCCAUCUGAGAUUGAGCAGUUAGGCUCAGGAUCACCCAACUGGUUAGCAGACCAGUAGCCUCCUUGGUUAUCGAAUAACCAGACAGAUCUCUCCAUCAGUGUAGAAAAGGCAUGCACCCCCACGUGCAGAAGAGUAGCCACAGGCCUGUGUUGCUCUUAAAUGCACCACACUGCUCUCGGCAUGUGCUCACUGGAAUCCGAUGGGUGCCAGAGACCUGUUAAGUUCAUUAGUGAUGGGGAUUGGGAUUGUAGUAAUUCCCCAUUAAGGAAGAAUUGCCUGUGAGAGAGCAGGCCAAAAGCGUGCAUUAAGCUUCUGCCCAUUGUCCCUCCCAUUGCCACUAGGGAUUGGCGCUUGGCCUUGAUGGAUAGCUGAGAACAGUC
rnacentral:rRNA from 1 species